UACGUAGGGGGGCAAGCGUUGUCCGGAAUUAUUGGGCGUAAAGAGCGUGUAGGCGGCCAGAUAAGUCCGCUGUGAAAUCUCGAGGCUCAACUUCGAGCUGUCGGUGGAAACUAUCUGGCUAGAGUCCGGAAGAGGAGAAUGGAAUUCCUGGUGUAGCGGUGAAAUGCGCAGAUAUCAGGGAGGAACACCAAUGGCGAAGGCAGCACUCUGGGACGUGACUGACGCUGAGACGCGAAAAGCGUGGGGGAGCAAAACAGG
rnacentral:rRNA from 1 species